rnacentral:lncRNA from 1 species
GCCACAUUUAAUAGCCCCUCCUGGAUCACUCCCCCCUUAGACAAGGUCAGCCUGAGCCUGCUUUGGGCAUACCCUGGGGAAGAUAUGGAUUCCUGCAAUGUGCAGCAUGUAACCCAAGGUGAAAACAGGGACAGCCUAUGCAAGGCUACACAUUGAGUGGAACAGUUUUUGUGCUGAAGAGCAGUUUGAAGGUCUGGUAGUGUGGUAUGAGCAAAAGAAGCCUCCAGACUCACUUGCAAGUCAAAUGAAGAAAGUCAGGCAACUAUUGAACCUGGUGGUGAUUCAUCUGUACUCUCCAGUUUGUGCUGAUUGCUAAAAUGUAGAUGUGUAGUGUGGGCAACAGGCACAAAAUGAUAAAAUUAGGGAAAUGACUCUUUCACAAGUAGUGCAACGAACCUGUUUGGAGGUGGAAAGAGGAUCAAGUAGUUAAUACAGAAGUCAGAUAGACAAAGCUAUAUAUGGUGGUGAC